CAAGUUCUAGAAUAACAAACCAAGUUGACCUACUCUCAACCAAAAAUAAAAUGAUCACGAACUAAAAUAUAUGCUCUGUAGGCUUAAAAUCUCACAAAAAGUUAUGGUGUCGAUGUCAAACUUACAAUUUUAAAAUUUCAAGAUAAUACUUCAAUUCAAGGAGACAACCUAAAAUAUUUAUUUCUGAAAAAAAACUUAUCAUGCUUGACUCUCUAGUGUCUUAAAAUAUAAA
rnacentral:lncRNA from 1 species